UGCCUCUCUCUUGACCGGACAGUAGAUUAUACGUUCCACCUAGCCCUAGGUGGGAAAACACAACAAUUAGAAACAGACAUGGCAAAAUCAGCAGCUAUCUUGCUGGUGUUAAUUUCCUUUUUGUACAUCCUAUCUCAAUCAGCCCAUGUGGUUGCAGGAUGGACAGACGAAAGGCUACCAAAGGCUGAAGUUACAGAGGACUCUAGGGAACUGCUGGGUGUCCUUCAUAACGUCCUAGAGAAACUCCAAAACAGAAGAAUGGCUGUGUGGGAAAGAAGACAAAGCCACCUUCCUAGUGUAAGCAAGCUAUUUCAGACACCACAGGUGAAUAGUUGAAUAGGUGAUCGAUUUCCCAAAUGUGUGGGUCAGACCCUCUGGUGGGUUGUGGGUGGCACCUUUUGGAUUGCGGGUCAAGACUACAUUCUUGCUAGAGCAUGUUCUGGGGGAAAUAAAUAAACACUCUAAAAUCUUA